GGUGAGUAACACGUGGACAACCUGCCUCAAGGCUGGGGAUAACAUUUGGAAACAGAUGCUAAUACCGAAUAAAACUUAGUGUCGCAUGACACAAAGUUAAAAGGCGCUUCGGCGUCACCUAGAGAUGGAUCCGCGGUGCAUUAGUUAGUUGGUGGGGUAAAGGCCUACCAAGACAAUGAUGCAUAGCCGAGUUGAGAGACUGAUCGGCCACAUUGGGACUGAGACACGGCCCAAACUCCUACGGGAGGCUGCAGUAGGGAAUCUUCCACAAUGGGCGAAAGCCUGAUGGAGCAACGCCGCGUGUGUGAUGAAGGCUUUCGGGUCGUAAAGCACUGUUGUAUGGGAAGAACAGCUAGAAUAGGAAAUGAUUUUAGUUUGACGGUACCAUACCAGAAAGGGACGGCUAAAUACGUGCCAGCAGCCGCGGUAAUACGUAUGUCCCGAGCGUUAUCCGGAUUUAUUGGGCGUAAAGCGAGCGCAGACGGUUUAUUAAGUCUGAUGUGAAAGCCCGGAGCUCAACUCCGGAAUGGCAUUGGAAACUGGUUAACUUGAGUGCAGUAGAGGUAAGUGGAACUCCAUGUGUAGCGGUGGAAUGCGUAGAUAUAUGGAAGAACACCAGUGGCGAAGGCGGCUUACUGGACUGCAACUGACGUUGAGGCUCGAAAGUGUGGGUAGCAAACAGGAUUAGAUACCCGGUAGUCCACACCGUAACGAUGAACACUAGGUGUUAGGAGGUUUCCGCCUCUUAGUGCCGAAGCUAACGCAUUAAGUGUUCCGCCUGGGGAGUACGACCGCAAGGUUGAAACUCAAAGGAAUUGACGGGGACCCGCACAAGCGGUGGAGCAUGUGGUUUAAUUCGAAGCACGCGAAGAACCUUACCAGGUCUUGACAUCCUUUGAAGCUUUUAGAGAUAGAAGUGUUCUCUUCGGAGACAAAGUGACAUGGUGCAUGGUCGUCGUCAGCUCGUGUCGUGAGAUGUUGGGUUAAGUCCCGCAACGAGCGCAACCCUUAUUGUUAGUUGCCAGCAUUCAGAUGGGCACUCUAGCGAGACUGCCGGUGACAAACCGGAGGAAGGCGGGGACGACGUCAGAUCAUCAUGCCCCUUAUGACCUGGGCUACACACGUGCUACAAUGGCGUAUACAACGAGUUGCCAACCCGCGAGGGUGAGCUAAUCUCUUAAAGUACGUCUCAGUUCGGAUUGUAGUCUGCAACUCGACUACAUGAAGUCGGAAUCGCUAGUAAUCGCGGAUCAGCACGCCGCGGUGAAUACGUUCCCGGGUCUUGUACACACCGCCCGUCCCCAUGGGAGUUUGUAAUGCCCAAAG
rnacentral:rRNA from 1 species